rnacentral:lncRNA from 1 species
GAAGAAAUGUAAUUCGUGGAAUUGAACAUUGAUAUAUUGAUGAAUAUUGUGAAUACAAUCUAUAGUAUUUACUACUUUGAUGCUUUCUCUCGAAUACAAGAUAAAAAUUUUAGAACUUCUUGGUCUUCGGUCUUUAGAAUGUUGUCGUUGCAAAUUGAUUUGAGCUUCAAUCUUUUGGAAUCCAAGGAAAGUUUAAUCUUCCAAAUCUUCAAUUUUUCAGAAGAUGUUGAUCUCGAGGUUGAUAUGAACUUGCACGUCUAGAAAGCUCGAAGUUUGAAUCUUCAAUUCUUUAGAGUUUCAGUACUUGAGAGCUUCAAUUCUUC